rnacentral:lncRNA from 1 species
GAGUCAGAGAAGUCUGUUGCGGAUCCCACACUCCUUGGCACCCAGAAAGCCACACGGAGGAAACUGGCAUGGAGUCUUUGACUGUCAGCAGAGGACAUCUGGGCUCCCUUUUCUGACUCCCUGCCAUGGCCAGGCCCUCUGUGUCUGCUUCUCUGGAGUCCUCACAAGAAAGUCCAGCGACAGACAGCUGCACUGCCUCGUGACCACAGAUCGGCCAGUGAUGGUUGGAUUCCAUGGACACACUGAUGUCUGUGCCAGGCAGAAGGCUAAGCUGGUCCUCAGCUGAUGCCCUUGAGCACAGGUCAUGCUAAUUCCUUAUGGUAGCCACAGGAAACUGAAGCGUGAGAUAGUGAAUGCUCUGGAAGAUGGU